rnacentral:tRNA from 4 species
GGGCCGCUAGCUCAGUUGGUAGAGCAGCUGACUCUUAAUCAGCGGGUCGCUGGUUCGAUCCCAGCGCGGCCCACCA